AUGCAAGAGAGAUUCCGAUUUUGGGGCUAUGCCUUCAGCCUAAGAGAGAGCAAAAUCUUUUUCUACCAGCUAAAAGGAGGUGAAAGUUUUGGUCCCCUCACACCGCGGAUCGCCUUUACUUUGUCUAAUUGGGGUGUUUUGAGCCUCAUCGCUACACCCGAAGUGCAGAAGAGCCUGCGGGAAACGAGCUCGCAACAACCGAGAACCAGGGAUCAACAACAACUCGCGUCGCUUUCCCUAUGUGCAUAUCACUCGACUCUCAUUUAAGCCAGAUGUGUUAACCUGAUCCCUGCGAAACACCAGCUCUCCGUGGAUUUUGACCGCGAGUGACCGGAUGUUGUUUCCGGCCUGAGGUUGCCUGAAAUGCCGUGAGGCUCGUUUGAAAGAUUGCGCCCGAGACCAACUCCGCCUCCAAGGCGUGCCUACCUUUAGCUGCCACCAGUGAGAUAUCAGAGCCGGGCUCCACAUAUCCAAUCAGGAGCACGAGCAAGACAGCUUUUGCAGACUCUCCAGAAAUAUACAAGUCCUUACCAACUGCUCUGCAACCCAGUGUUUCUGGUCCCCUCACCAACAUCGCUUUUUGAGAUAUUUUUUUUACGAACCACCAAAAAAGCAAUUUUACCCCCCAGUACAGAAGACUGGAUCUGAGGGCAGCAGCGGGGACAAAUGAUUGUAAUGAAGCGACAGACAUUUCAUGGCUGGUCUUAGAUAAUUGUGAGUCAUUGUGUCUUAUGGUGAAAAGUACAUAGUUUUGCAAGAGGCAUACAAGCACUGUGGAAAAAGUAAUCAUAAAACUGUUUUUGUGAACACUUUGCUCCCUACGUUAUGCUUUUAAAAUUUGAUACAUGUAAUGUGAUCAUCAAAGAACAUGUUCUUUUUAAAAACACUCAUUCUUAUGCUUUUAAACUAUGUCAGAUUAUCAUAAAACACUUAUUUGUAUGUUAUAAUGUUUUUCUUACACCAUGUGUAAUUUUCAUUCACACCUUGUUCAUUGUAUCAAUGUGUAAUUAUGUAUCUUUGAUAAAUAAAUAAAAUAUUUAAUCCUGUAU
rnacentral:lncRNA from 1 species